GUAGGGAAUCUUCGGCAAUGGACGAAAGUCUGACCGAGCAACGCCGCGUGAGUGAAGAAGGUUUUCGGAUCGUAAAACUCUGUUGGUAGAAGAACGUUGGUGAGAGUGGAAAGCUCAUCAAGUGACGGUAACUACCCAGAAAGGGACGGCUAACUACGUGCCAGCAGCCGCGGUAAUACGUAGGCCCCGAGCGUUGUCCGGAUUUAUUGGGCGUAAAGCGAGCGCAGGUGGUUUAUUAAGUCUGGUGUAAAAGGCAGUGGCUCAACCAUUGUAUGCAGUGGAAACUGGUAGACUUGAGUGCAGGAGAGGAGAGUGGAAUUCCAUGUGUAGCGGUGAAAUGCGUAGAUAUAUGGAGGAACACCGGUGGCGAAAGCGGCUCUCUGGCCUGUAACUGACACUGAGGCUCGAAAGCGUGGGGAGCAAACAGGAUUAGAUACCCUGGUAGUCC
rnacentral:rRNA from 1 species